AUACAUCCCCAUGUCACCCUGAAUAUCCCAGAUCACAUCUGGUUUUGGAAACUAAGCACGAUUGGGCCAGGUUAGUACUUGGAUGGGAGAAUACCAGGGAAUAAACACCAAGAAUCUCUC
rnacentral:rRNA from 1 species